AAAAGGUAUAACAUUUCAAUUUAUUUCUAAUCUUUAAAUCUUUAAAACUAUUUUAAAUGUAAAAAAACAUUUAUUCCCCAAAAAGACGAUAAGACCCUAUUGAACUUUACUUUAGUUUAACUGGGGCAGUUAAUUAAAUAUUAUUUUAAAAAAAAAAAUUAAAUAAAUGACCUAAUCAAAUUAAAUUUAUGAUCAAGUUACCAUAGGGAUAACAGCGUAAUACUAUUUUUAAGCUCUUAUUUUAAAUUAAGUUUGCGACCUCGAUGUUGACUAACAUUCUAAUUCACGCAAUAGUGAAUAAAGAAAGUCUGUUCGACUUUUAAAAAGUUACA
rnacentral:rRNA from 1 species